rnacentral:rRNA from 1 species
GACGAACGCUGGCGGCGUGCUUAACACAUGCAAGUCGAACGGAAAGGCCCUGCUUUUGUGGGGUGCUCGAGUGGCGAACGGGUGAGUAACACGUGAGUAACCUGCCCUUGACUUUGGGAUAACUUCAUGAAACUGGGGCUAAUACCGGAUAGGAGCUCCUGCUGCAUGGUGGGGGUUGGAAAGUUUCGGCGGUUGGGGAUGGACUCGCGGCUUAUCAGCUUGUUGGUGGGGUAGUGGCUUACCAAGGCUUUGACGGGUAGCCGGCCUGCGCGGAUGACAGGCCACACUGGAACUGAGAUGAGGCACAGACUACUACGGGACGCAGCGGUGGGGAAUAGUGUACAAUGGGAGGAAGCCUGAUGUAGCAACGCAGCGUGGGGGAUGACGGGCAGCGGGUUGUAAACCGAUUUCGCCUGUGACGAAGCGAGAGUGACGGUAAUGGGUAAAGAAGCACCGGCUAACUACGUG